GCGUACGGCUCACUAUCACGUAGUCAACCUGCCCUGGAGACAUGGAAAACCCCGGGAAACUGGGAUUAAUCCGUGAUAGGUCAUCUCAUCUGGAAGGAGAGAUGGCUUAAAGGGGUGCGAGAGCUUCUUUCUUGCAUUCGCUCCAGGAUGGGACUGCGGCCGAUCAGGCUGUUGGCGGUGUAAUGGACCACCAAACCUGUAACCGGUACGGGCCUUGAGAGAGGGGGCCCGGAGAUGGACACUGAGAGAAGGGUCCAGGUCCUACGGGGCGCAGCAGGCGCGAAACCUUCGCAAUGCGCGAAAGCGUGACGAGGUUAAUCCGAGUGGUCCCCGCUGAGGGGAUCUUUUGUUGGCUGUAAAAAGGCCGAUGAAUAAGGGGAGGGCAAGUCUGGUGUCAGCCGCCGCGGUAAUACCAGCUCCUCGAGUGGUCGGGGCGAUUAUUGGGCCUAAAGCAUCCGUAGCCGGUUCUGUAGGUCCUCUGUCAAAUCCAACGGCUUAACCGUUGGCCCGCAGAGGAUACCGCAGGACUAGGAGGCGGGAGAGGUGGACGGUACUCGACGUGUAGGGGUAAAAUCCUUUGAUCCGUCGAAGA
rnacentral:rRNA from 1 species